AACGAACGCUGGCGGCAUGCCUAACACAUGCAAGUCGAACGAGACCUUCGGGUCUAGUGGCGCACGGGUGCGUAACGCGUGGGAACCUGCCCUUAGGUUCGGAAUAACUCCCCGAAAGGGGUGCUAAUACCGGAUAAUGUCUUCGGACCAAAGAUUUAUCGCCUUUGGAUGGGCCCGCGUUGGAUUAGCUAGUUGGUAGGGUAAAAGCCUACCAAGGCGACGAUCCAUAGCUGGUCUGAGAGGAUGAUCAGCCACACUGGGACUGAGACACGGCCCAGACUCCUACGGGAGGCAGCAGUGGGGAAUAUUGAACAAUGGGCGAAAGCCUGAUCCAGCAAUGCCGCGUGAGUGAUGAAGGCCUUAGGGUUGUAAAGCUCUUUUACCCGGGAUGAUAAUGACAGUACCGGGAGAAUAAGCUCCGGCUAACUCCGUG
rnacentral:rRNA from 1 species